rnacentral:tRNA from 1 species
AGGGAUAUAGCUCAGUAGCACAGCACUUGUCUGGUAAGCAUGAGGUCCUGAGUUCAAUUCCUGGUACCACCC